rnacentral:rRNA from 1 species
AGAGUUUGAUCCUGGCUCAGGAUGAACGCUAGCGGCAGGCCUAAUACAUGCAAGUCGAACGAUAUUAAGGGGCUUGCUCCUUAAGAAAGUGGCGCACGGGUGCGUAACGCGUAUGCAACCUACCUUAAUCAGGGGGAUAGCCCGAAGAAAUUCGGAUUAACACCGCAUAAAAACACAGGAUAGCAUUAUCCAAUGUUCAAAUAUUUAUAGGAUUAAGAUGGGCAUGCGUGUCAUUAGCUAGUUGGCGGGGUAACGGCCCACCAAGGCGACGAUGACUAGGGGAUCUGAGAGGAUGACCCCCCACACUGGUACUGAGACACGGACCAGACUCCUACGGGAGGCAGCAGUAAGGAAUAUUGGUCAAUGGAGGCAACUCUGAACCAGCCAUGCCGCGUGCAGGAAGACUGCCCUAUGGGUUGUAAACUGCUUUUAUCCGGGAAUAAACCUUUCUACGUGUAGAGAGCUGAAUGUACCGGAAGAAUAAGGAUCGGCUAACUCCGUG